UACGUAGGGUGCGAGCGUUGUCCGGAAUUACUGGGCGUAAAGAGCUCGUAGGUGGUUUGUCGCGUUGUUCGUGAAAACUCACAGCUUAACUGUGGGCGUGCGGGCGAUACGGGCAGACUGGAGUACUGCAGGGGAGACUGGAAUUCCUGGUGAUAGCGGUGGAAUACGCAGAUAUCAGGAGGAACACCGGUGGCGAAGGCGGGUCUCUGGGCAGUAACUGACGCUGGAGGAGCGAAAGCGUGGGGAGCGAACAGG
rnacentral:rRNA from 1 species